rnacentral:lncRNA from 1 species
ACGUUUAGAGUUUUUAAGUGGUUAUUAAAUGUGGUUUAUUAGUAUUAGUUUUUAAUUAAGUGCUAUUUUAUGUUCCCAAUCCUCAGCAUCUAAAACCCAACAGCCAUGCGGCUGGGUUUAAUUACCAGUAGACCAACAGUUUUUCUUUUAUUUUAGUUUUUUAAUCCUUUUUCUUAAUUUAUUUUAGUUUAUAUAUUUAGGUUAGUCUUAAAAUAACAGUUAGUUGUUAAAUAGCCUAGUGGAGAGAGGAUAGUGCUGUAAUCUCAGGAUGAGCGGGUUCGAUACUCGUAGGGGGUAUUUUUAGUAUUUCUUUUUUUAGUAUUUCUUUUUAGUAUUUCAUUUCUUUUUAGCAUUUCAUUUUUAUUUCUUUUUAGUAUUUUAUUAUCUUUUAGCAUUUUGUUUCUUUUAAUAGUUUUUUAUGUCCAUGAUUUUUUUUAAAUCCAUCAUGCAUGCAAAACCAUUAAGAAAAAAUCAUACUUUUCUCGAUUUAAUAUCGAGCCCUUUUUCACACCCUUGUAAGUCGAUUGCUUUUUAAGCAUCGCCACCGACCUCACAUAGCUUACUCUUGGGCUUUCUUACAAUGAGCCGGUUCCCUUGCACUUACACUCAUGCAUUAUUUGUUUGGGCCCGAUUUUAUUUAUUCCAUGAUUGUUUAAUCCCCAUUUG